AAAACAUGACCUUUAGUGUUUAAUUUAAGGUCUGACCUGCCCACUGAAUUAAAUGGCCGCAGUAUUUUAACUGUGCAAAGGUAGCAUAAUCAUUAGUCUUUUAAUUGAAGGCUUGUAUGAAUGGUUGGACGAAAUAUUGACUGUUUCAUGAAAAUUGAUUUAGAAUUUUAUUUUUUAGUUAAAAAGCUAAAAUUUUUUUAAAAGACGAGAAGACCCUAUAGAUCUUUAUAAUUAGUUUAUUAUAGUUAUUUAGAUAAGUUAAAUUAUAAUUGUAUUAAUUAUUUUGUUGGGGUGAUAUUAAAAUUUAGUUAACUUUUAAUAUAUAGUUACAUUGAUUUAUGAAUUAUUGAUCCAUUAUUAAUGAUUAAAAAAUUAAGUUACCUUAGGGAUAACAGCGUAAUUUUUUUGAAGAGUUCAUAUCGAUAAAAAAGAUUGCGACCUCGAUGUUGGAUUAAGAUAUAAUUUUGGGUGCAGCAAUUCAAUUAUUAAGUCUGUUCGACUUUUAAUUUCUUACAUGA
rnacentral:rRNA from 1 species